GACGAACGCUGGCGGCGUGCCUAAUACAUGCAAGUUGAGCGAUGAAGAUUGGUGCUUGCACCAAUUUGAAAAGCAGCGAACGGGUGAGUAACGCGUGGGGAAUCUGCCUUUGAGCGGGGGACAACAUUUGGAAACGAAUGCUAAUACCGCAUAACAACUUUAAACAUAAGUUUUAAGUUUGAAAGAUGCAAUUGCAUCACUCAAAGAUGAUCCCGCGUUGUAUUAGCUAGUUGGUGAGGUAAAGGCUCACCAAGGCGAUGAUACAUAGCCGACCUGAGGGGGUGAUCGGCCACAUUGGGACUGAGACACGGCCCAAACUCCUACGGGAGGCAGCAGUAGGGAAUCUUCGGCAAUGGACGAAAGUCUGACCGAGCAACGCCGCGUGAGUGAAGAAGGUUUUCGGAUCGUAAAACUCUGUUGGUAGAGAAGAACGUUGGUGAGAGUGGAAAGCUCAUCAAGUGACGGUAACUACCCAGAAAGGGACGGCUAACUACGUG
rnacentral:rRNA from 1 species